rnacentral:rRNA from 1 species
AUUGAACGCUGGCGGCAGGCCUAACACAUGCAAGUCGAACGGUAACAGGAAGAAGCUUGCUUCUUUGCUGACGAGUGGCGGACGGGUGAGUAAUGUCUGGGAAACUGCCUGAUGGAGGGGGAUAACUACUGGAAACGGUAGCUAAUACCGCAUAAUGUCGCAAGACCAAAGAGGGGGACCUUCGGGCCCCUUGCCCUCGGAUGUGCCCAGAUGGGAUUAGCUAGUAGGUGGGGUAACGGCUCACCUAGGCGACGAUCCCUAGCUGGUCUGAGAGGAUGACCAGCCACACUGGAACUGAGACACGGUCCAGACUCCUACGGGAGGCAGCAGUGGGGAAUAUUGCACAAUGGGAGCAAGCCUGAUGCAGCUAUGCCGCGUGUAUGAAGAAGGCCUUCGGGUUGUAAAGUACUUUCAGCGGGGAGGAAGGGAGUAAAGUUAAUACCUUUGCUCAUUGACGUUACCCGCAGAAGAAGCACCGGCUAACUCCGUG